AGUGAACGCUGGCGGUAGGCCUAACACAUGCAAGUCGAACGGCAGCACAGUAAGAGCUUGCCCUUACGGGUGGCGAGUGGCGGACGGGUGAGGAAUACAUCGGAAUCUACUUUUUCGUGGGGGCUAACGUAGGGAAACUUACGCUAAUACCGCAUACGACCUACGGGUGAAAGCAGGGGAUCUUCGGACCUUGCGCGAUUGAAUGAGCCGAUGUCGGAGUAGCUAGUUGGCGGGGUAAAGGCGCACCAAGGCGACGAUCCGUAGCUGGUCUGAGAGGAUGAUCAGCCACACUGGAACUGAGACACGGUCCAGACUCCUACGGGAGGCAGCAGUGGGGAAUAUUGGACAAGGGGCGCAAGCCUGAUCCAGCCAUACCGCGUGGGUGAAGAAGGCCUUCGGGUUGUAAAGCCCUUUUGUUGGGAAAGAAAAGCAGCAGGUUAAUACCCCGCUGUUCUGACGGUACCCAAAGAAUAAGCACCGGCUAACUUCGUG
rnacentral:rRNA from 1 species